AAAAGCCAUCAAACAUUUGCAGUUCACUUGAAAAAAUGAAAGACAAACCAGAAACUAAAACAAAUUGGUUUGCUCAGUUUUAAUCACUAUAUAAUACAACAGUAUUCCAGAUAUUUCAAGAUUUUAUUUUAGCUGUUUCCUUAUUUAUUUUUAAAUUUUAACUGACUGGAUCUUUGUUAAUAAUUGGCGCUGAAGUCUAGCUAGUAAAAUGAAAAGGUAAACCCUCCAAAGAGGAUUACGUCAAUGAUGAAGGAGCAGUCCACGAUAUUCUGAAGGUACUUCAGGCUAUUAAUCUUUUACAAGUCUGAUGUUAUAGUGGGCAAACAUGGACACUAUAUUCCAGACAGGGAAAUCAAGCAGACAAGUCCUAACCGUGUUGCCCCAGGCCAACCAUUAAAUCAUGGGAAGAGCAGAGCUUCAACUUAAGACUGACACCUUAACUUAAAUAAAAACUAAACAGUUCUUCAGGAGAAUGAGAAAAUUGAUCAUAUUUGAUGAAUCUUAGAACUUCAACAAGGUGAAGACAAAGCAGAAGCUUUACUUCUUGGAGGCAGAAAUACAGAAGCAUGGAUAAGGAUGAUACUUAACUACACAGACGGACCUGGAGAACAUUAUGCUCCGUGAAGUGCACAUCUGUUUAUUUGUGGACUCCCAGUGGAAGAAUAACCAAGAGUUUAACAUCAACUAUGCUUUUAGUAAUCCAGGAAAUUACAACCUACCAAGAAGCAAACUUCUUCCUCUACACAACAAACAUUUAGGAGAGAAAAAUCUAGGGCUGGGAAGGGCGAUGAGUCAAAGGAGAUAUUCUGGGAUACUUUGACACAACAGAAGAUCUUAAUUUAGAAAAGGAGGGAGGCUAAGAGUUACUCAAUGUUUCCAGUAUCGAGAAAGCAAGAACCAAGUGUUCCCAGAGAAUUUGUCAAAGCUCCCUUCAGCAUAAAUGUGCUCACCAGCAGAAAACUAUGACUCAAGAACACUAUGGUCCAAGGCUUGCCUAGUAUGUUUGCAUCCCUCGCCACGUCCAUCCCGAUGGAAAAAGCACACCCCAUGAUCACAUCCUGUCUUCUCAUCAAGAAGAGUAACCUAAAAGGGACGUUGAACAAGCACCAGUUCUUCCUUUGUCCACAGUCUGCAAACGGUCUGCUGUAACUUUGGAGGCAUUGUUCCGAAUGCAUUAUUUUCUGGCCAUGAACCAUCGUCCUAUGGUUGUCGACUUUGCAAUGUGGCAGUGGACAAAAUUACACUCUGCAAAAGAGACAGGAGCAGAUGAUACAGCCCGAGGCUUGAGAACUGAUUUCCUGCUUCAAAUAUGUUUCCUGAUUGAAGAUUGCACACCUAGGAGGACGAGGACAGAAUUUCUGUUUACUUUCUUCAAAGAAGUUAAAGGAAGAGUGAUUUGUGCUCAGAAUGUCUAUACCUAUUGAGGAAAUAAUACCGGAUGCUCCUGCGAGACAUAUGGGAAAAG
rnacentral:lncRNA from 1 species